AGACCCGAAACCCGGUGAUCUAGCCAUGGGCAGGUUGAAGGUUGGGUAACACUAACUGGAGGACCGAACCGACUAAUGUUGAAAAAUUAGCGGAUGACCUGUGGCUGGGGGUGAAAGGCCAAUCAAACCGGGAGAUAGCUGGUUCUCCCCGAAAGCUAUUUAGGUAGCGCCUCGUGAAUUCAUCUCCGGGGGUAGAGCACUGUUUCGGCUAGGGGGCCAUCCCGGCUUACCAACCCGAUGCAAACUGCGAAUACCGGAGAAUGUUAUCACGGGAGACACACGGCGGGUGCUAACGUCCGUCGUGAAGAGGGAAACAACCCAGACCGCCAGCUAAGGUCCCAAAGUCAUGGUUAAGUGGGAAACGAUGUGGGAAGGCCCAGACAGCCAGGAUGUUGGCUUAGAAGCAGCCAUCAUUUAAAGAAAGCGUAAUAGCUCACUGGUCGAGUCGGCCUGCGCGGAAGAUGUAACGGGGCUAAACCAUGCACCGAAGCUGCGGCAGCGACACUUUAGUGUUGUUGGGUAGGGGAG
rnacentral:rRNA from 1 species